rnacentral:piRNA from 1 species
UCCUAUAAAAGGGACCUCAAGAGGCCAAU